ensembl:snRNA U6 U6 spliceosomal RNA
GUGGUCACUUCAGGAUCACAUAUAGUAAGAUUGGAAUGAUACCGAGGAGAUUAGCAUGAUCCCUGCACAAGGAUGACAUGCAAAUUCGUGAAGCAUUUCAUGUUUUU